rnacentral:rRNA from 1 species
UUCGGGGAACGAUAACGGCGUCGAGCGGCGGACGGGUGAGUAAUGCCUGGGAAAUUGCCCUGAUGUGGGGGAUAACCAUUGGAAACGAUGGCUAAUACCGCAUGAUGCCUACGGGCCAAAGAGGGGGACCUUCGGGCCUCUCGCGUCAGGAUAUGCCUAGGUGGGAUUAGCUAGUUGGUGAGGUAAGGGCUCACCAAGGCGACGAUCCCUAGCUGGUCUGAGAGGAUGAUCAGCCACACUGGAACUGAGACACGGUCCAGACUCCUACGGGAGGCAGCAGUGGGGAAUAUUGCACAAUGGGCGCAAGCCUGAUGCAGCCAUGCCGCGUGUAUGAAGAAGGCCUUCGGGUUGUAAAGUACUUUCAGUCGUGAGGAAGGCUCAUGCGUUAAUAGCGUAUGGAUUUGACGUUAGCGACAGAAGAAGCACCGGCUAACUCCGUGCCAGCAGCCGCGGUAAUACGGAGGGUGCGAGCGUUAAUCGGAAUUACUGGGCGUAAAGCGCAUGCAGGUGGUGUGUUAAGUCAGAUGUGAAAGCCCGGGGCUCAACCUCGGAAUAGCAUUUGAAACUGGCAGACUAGAGUACUGUAGAGGGGGGUAGAAUUU